CAGUAAAUAGUUAAAUUUAUAAUAUUAAUUUUGGAGAUUAAAGAUGGGAUUAUUCUCUUUACUGA
rnacentral:tRNA from 2 species